AUACGAAGGGGGCUAGCGUUGUUCGGAUUUACUGGGCGUAAAGCGCACGUAGGCGGAUUGAUCAGUUAGGGGUGAAAUCCCGAGGCCCAACCUCGGAACUGCCUUUAAUACUGUCAGUCUAGAGACCGGAAGAGGUGAGUGGAACUCCUAGUGUAGAGGUGGAAUUCGUGGAUAUUAGGAAGAACACCAGUGGCGAAGGCGGCUCACUGGUCCGGUACUGACGCUGAGGUGCGAAAGCGUGGGGAGCGAACAGGAUUAGAUACCCUAGUAGUCC
rnacentral:rRNA from 1 species